rnacentral:rRNA from 1 species
CUUCCGUAGGUGAACCUGCGGAAGGAUCAUUAGUGAUUGCCCCUAGUGGCUUAAACUAUAUCCAUAUACACCUGUGAACCGUUUGAUUGACACUCUGUGUUAAUUUUACAAACAAUGUGUAAUGAACGUCUAGUUAUUAUAACAAAAAAUAACUUUCAACAACGGAUCUCUUGGCUCUCGCAUCGAUGAAGAACGCAGCGAAAUGCGAUAAGUAAUGUGAAUUGCAGAAUUCAGUGAAUCAUCGAAUCUUUGAACGCAACUUGCGCUCUCUGGUAUUCCGGAGAGCAUGCCUGUUUGAGUGUCAUGAAAUCUCAACCAUUAGGGUUUCUUAAUGGCUUGGAUUUGAGUGUUGGCAGUCUCUGCCUCACUUUAAAGGAGUUAGCGAGUUUUAACAAUGUCGUCUGGCGCAAUAAGUUUCGCUGGUAAGACUUGCGAAGUUUGCUUCUAAUCGACCUCCGGACAAUUACUUGUGACUCUGGGCCUCGAAA